rnacentral:rRNA from 1 species
GCCUACGGGGGGCAGCAGUAGGGAAUUUUCGUCAAUGGGCGCAAGCCUGAACGAGCAAUGCCGCGUGAACGAGGAAGGUCUUCGGAUCGUAAAGUUCUGUUGAAGGGGAAAAAGAGCGGAGAGAGGAAAUGCUUUCUGAUUGAUAUUACCCUUCGAGGAAGUCACGGCUAACUACGUGCCAGCAGCCGCGGUAAUACGUAGGUGGCGAGCGUUAUCCGGAAUGAUUGGGCGUAAAGGGUGCGUACGCGGCCUGCUAAGUCUGGAGUGAAAGGUACCGGCUCAACCGGUACAGGCUCUGGAAACUG